rnacentral:lncRNA from 1 species
AGCAGGUUAGGGGACACUUUGACUAUGUCCGGGACUUCCUCAUGUGGUUUGCUCAGAACUUGAAGGGGGAACCAUACCACAGCAAGGGCACAUAUGCAUGAACCACCAACUUCUCUCCGAAGAUGAGUAUGACAAAUUCCACCAAUAAGUGAGCUACUUCCCUUAUCGACAUGAUUCCUCCAGCAUUGCUACCAAAUAGGAAACUGGUAGACAAAUGGAAAUCAGGCAGGAAGACUUGUGCCUAGUGUAGCACCAUAAUGUUUUUCAGGGA